GACGUAGGGCGCAAGCGUUGUCCGGAUUUAUUGGGCGUAAAGAGCUCGUAGGCGGUGUGUCACGUCGGCCGGUGAAAACCUCGCAGCUUAACUGUGGGCGUGCGGUCGGAUACGGGCAUCACUGGAGUUCGGGCAGAGGAGAGUGGAAUCCCGGUGUAGCGGUGAAAUGCGCAGAUAUCGGGCAAGAACACCCGUGGCGAAGGCGGCUCUCUGGGACGGUACUGACGGCUGAGACGCGAAAGCGUGGGGAGCGAACA
rnacentral:rRNA from 1 species